GAAACCCAAAAGAUCGAAUGGGGAGAUUCAUCGUCAGCUCAUUUUGUAUAUGUAUGAGUUAUGAUGCGGGUUAUCUACUUGUAGUAUUGCCUGUACAUUCUUGUGCAUUUUGUUGCAAGAUGUUGUCGGCGUGCACUUCUCCCCUAGUAGGACGUCGCGACCCGUUGAGAGUUGGUCUACGGCCCAAGUGGUAGCCUGUAAUGUUUAAAAUCGUUGCAGACCCUUGGUGUUUUCUGACCAACUACUCGGCGGUACACGUACGGUAUUAAGCCGCACAUUUUAUGCGUCCAUGCCCGUCGCAAGCGAGGCCAAUUUCUGGUAGUACGGACCUAGUGCCGUCGCUGGUAUUGGCCAGCUGUUGGUUGUACGGUGUUCUGGGACUGGCUUAAAUUAAUUACCGGUCGGCGACGCUACUGCUUUGGGUACUUUCAGGACCCGUCUUGAAACACGGACCAAA
rnacentral:rRNA from 1 species